rnacentral:sRNA from 1 species
UCUUAGCCCCGAUUGCAGUGGAAAUCCUUUUUUGAAAAAAAAGAUUGUAAUGAAAAGUGGGAAAUAGC